UCUCUCCUUUAGCAUUGACAGUGGUGUUGGUGUCGGUAGUGAGAUGGUGUGGCGGUGUUGGUGAAAGGUGGAGUUGUCUAGGACUUGGAAGAGAGGAGAGGAAAAAAGAAGAGGGGUAUGGGAUGGUGGCGUCGGCAAUUGAUUACACUGGAGAUGGAGGGAAGGAGAAAGAAGGAGACAAAAAUGGUUGGCGCCUCUUGUCAAGCGAGCGAAGGGUGUGGGUAUUGGGGAUCAAAAGUGGCUCC
rnacentral:lncRNA from 1 species